rnacentral:lncRNA from 1 species
CUGCCUCUCUACUUGUGAUUUCUCUCUGUCAAAUAAAAAAAUCUUAAAAAAAAAAAAAAGAGUUAUUACCAGUUGCACAGUGAGUGGGGUCUGGCCAUUGGUAUUAAAACCUCUGGCAUAUCCUUUAGAACAUAUCAAAUAUAACCAUAGUUAUUCCAGCAACGUGUACGUGAUUCUCAUCACAGAGUAAGAGCUCACUAUCUCUACAAAUUUGAUUAUCAUCUCAUAAGGGCCUAAAUUAAAGCACCUCAUGCAGGUGUUUUGUUUUGUUUUGUUUUGUUUAUUUACCCCCCAGGGGUGCUGAAAUAGCACCAGAUGCCACUAGAUGGCCGCUGAGAACAGAACCUUGGUUUAUUCACCAUGAUGACUGGGUACAAAUGGCUGUUAAGCAUCAAGGCAAGGUGGAAUUGCUCUGCCUAAUCGGGGAGGAAAUUAUUUUAAUGAGAUGAGAAGAGGAGGGAAGAAGAGAGCCAGUGGAUGCUGUCAGAGGAGACGAAGAAGAGGCUGGCGUCCGGAGACCAUACCGCCAGGAGGGUCCCGGGCCUGUACUGGACCUCACCUGUUCCUGGAAAACAUGCUUUAUCUGCAUUAUCUCUACAUGGUCCAAGCUGUUUGGCUUCAUGUGAUCAGGACUCAGUGACUUCCAUCCCGCGCAUCAUUUUGCCAGACCCAGCUUUCACAGACAACAUGAAAGCCUUGAGGACCAUCAGCUCUGCCCUGUCAUUUCUUCCUCUGCUAUCCCAAUUCCCACAAGACGUUUCUGACCAGAGAGGCUUAUUUAAAUUCUCCACUUUGAAGGAAGCCAGUGAACUCAUGUACUCUUUGCCUUGCUUCUGGAAUUUCAUACCAUCAGAAAGAACUGUGGAACCAUUGCUGGUCUAUGACGAACCAAAGACCUCCUCCUUUUGGACAAAACCACCUUGGAGUCUUUUCCUUGCCAUAAAAUGAAAGCUUCAGGACAAUAAGAAGUAGAAACUUGUUCAAAGGUCUCACUCUCCCAUCCCCUAUUAAAUGAAGGACCAGGGGAUAUUUAAAGAGCGCCCGCAGUCUGGAUGAAGGAGAACUUCUUCAGAUGCAGAUCCUUGAGGCCCCAGACCUGCGUGGAGCCCCACUGAGUGGGUGAUGGUCCUCGCAGUCGCCACACUCUGUAAGUAACCAGCAUGACACUUUUCAGGGCAGGAUUGCCGCCUCCGACCUCCUGCUAUUUCCAUUCAGGCCAAAAGUUAUGAUCAUAGUCUUACCUUACCAGAUUUGGGACACUAUGGGAUAAAUGUUAUUCUAAUUUCAGUUAAAAACAUAAAAACAUGAUUUCCAGACAAACAGGCUUUUAACUUAGGGUUUGGAAAAGUUACAUGUUCUCAUUCAUUGUCAUUGCUGCUGCCCUGCAGAGGGGAAUUUAGACCUUCUUGAACUUUUCCUACAAAUCUGCAAUGAAUAGCCACAACCUGUUAAUCCUCUUUCCCAUAACUGACAGGGUCAGGAGUCUCCUAACACCCACGUGCCGACAAGCAGUACCAUUCUGAGAACAUCUGCCUUCCUUGAGAACCCCACCCCCGUCUUUUUAUAGGUAUAUGCCUACAUUCUCCCCCAGUGACUGGUCAGGAUUGGCAACCACUUCAUUCAGGGCAAUCAAAAUCCUUCCCAUGGACUGAAGCUUAAGGGAAACAAUCCUUCCCUCUUCAGAGAGAAGGUUUGGAUAAGGUUGAGUCCAGAGCCAUUGCCUGCCCCUGUGCCAAUCGCAUGUCCCAAGCCACCCUCUAGAAAGAGAGAGGGAACCCAAUACAAACAAGAAAGGAGAGGUGAAUGGUACCCAGGGGCCCAAGUUUCUAGGGUCAGAAUUCCUGAGAAGGAAUUCCAUCCCUGGGUACGGCCUUUCCAAGGUUCUGAUUAUAAGCUGUGUUUUUCUUUUCUGAUGUUGGUUUUGACAUUCUCAACUACCCUAGCCCCUUUAAUAAAUAUUUUUAUGCUUACAUGAAUCUAAGCUGGUCUUCUAAUACCUGGACCUCAAAGAAUCUGACCUGAUAAAUGGCUCAUAAUUGAUUAAUCUUAUCUUGACAAUUGAUAUAAUUGAUAUAAAGGCCAGGAAUUGUGUCAGGCCUUGAGCAAAUGCAAAGAAAUAGGAUGGCCUCCACCCCACUGGGCUCACAGCCUGGAGGUGGGUACCGGUGCAGUAACAUAGCUGCAUAGCAUUCCUUUCCCUCGGUUCCUGGAGUUCCCACCCAAGUGCCAAUGACCCAUUCUCAGGAUGCUCCAUCAUACUCACCCCACAGAAGAGGCAGCUGCCUCUUGGCCCCUUUAUAUUCCUAUUGUUUAGUGCAGUCACAGAGACCCUCUGAAUAUUUGUUAUGGGAAUAAGUGAAAUGUAGCCAUAAUAACAAUGUCACGUCAUGGUUUUCAGAGCCCUUUCAGAUAAAUUAUCUCAAUGUCAAGAACAUCCAGCCCAUGGACUCUUUAUAGUAGAAAGUUGUUUUUUAUCAGGCAUCACAGACAAAUAGAAACAUCCUGUAAGGUUUCCACUUCCUCCCCUUGUAUUAUCUAAUCUUAAUUUUGCUAAGUAGGCUUCCUUACUGGGAACAGAAUGAGCUAAUGGCUGAGAGCAGGAAAGGAACAGCGAUCAAGUAUCUGAUUAGCUUGGUUACGUUUCUUGAAAACAGAAGUCAUCCAUUUCUGUUGAAGAUGGAUCUCAAGGGCUCAGGUACCUACAAACGUGAUCCUCCAACAGUAACCUGGGAACCAAAGUUUAGAGUCUGCAAAGUUGCAACCCCAACAUCUUAUUCACUCACCCAUUUAUUUAGUUCUGUUGGGUCCCCUUAUGUACCAAGCAUUCUGGUAGUUAUGACUGUCUGCACUCUUAUGAGUUUACAGCCUAUUACAGUGCUUCACAAAUUGACUUAUACCCUGGAAUCCCUGGGAGAGCUUUAAAAAAUACUGAUACUUGAGUCCCACCCCCUUCCCUGAGAUUGUGAUUUCAUUAAUGUGGGGUAUGAUCUGGAUAGUUGGAGUUUUAAAAUGUCCCCACAUGAUUCUAAGUGUCCAACCAAGGCUGAGAACCACUGGUCUAGGAGAGAAAGAUAAAUAAGCAAGGGAUU